UAGGGAAUCUUCCACAAUGGACGAAAGUCUGAUGGAGCAACGCCGCGUGAGUGAUGAAGGGUUUCGGCUCGUAAAACUCUGUUGUUGGAGAAGAACAGGUGAUAGAGUAACUGUUAUCAUCUUGACGGUAUCCAACCAGAAAGCCACGGCUAACUACGUGCCAGCAGCCGCGGUAAUACGUAGGUGGCAAGCGUUGUCCGGAUUUAUUGGGCGUAAAGCGAGCGCAGGCGGUUUUUUAGGUCUGAUGUGAAAGCCUUCGACUUAACCGGAGAAGGGCAUCGGAAACCGGGAGACUUGAGUGCAGAAGAGGACAGUGGAACUCCAUGUGUAGCGGUGAAAUGCGUAGAUAUAUGGAAGAACACCAGUGGCGAAGGCGGCUGUCUGGUCUGUAACUGACGCUGAGGCUCGAAAGCAUGGGUAGCGAACAGGAUUAGAUACCCUGGUAGUCCAUGCCGUAAACGAUGAGUGCUAAGUGUUGGGAGGCUUCCGCUCUCNGUGUGCUGCAGCUAACGCAUUAAGCACUCCGC
rnacentral:rRNA from 1 species